AUGAAAAACUAUUCAAACAUGUCCCUUUGUGUUUGAACGAGAUCUUAACAUUGCUGAAAAGCAAAGACACCGUCAGUGAGAUACCAUUUCGACCAUCAGGCGGUGAUAUUUAUGUUUACAAAGCUGAACCUUUGACGUCAACUGACUGGACUACGAAUGGGCAUAGUUGGAGCAAUCUAGGAUCGCGGAAACCACUUCCUAGAAAAUCUCCAAAAUAUCAGCAAAACAGCAGCAAGAUGUACGGCUUUCAAGAGACGCAAUAUAUAAUACACACGAAUUAGCGUAUGAGGGCAGCUUUGUGCAAUAUAUGUCGACAUAUCCAGACCUCUGUGUUGUAGUUUGUGACAGUGAGAUGAUUGAAGAAUUACAUGUUGUAGCCAAAUUGAAAGACCCAGACUUUCUUUUUUUAGCUAUGAUACAACCUUUUCUCUCAGUGAAUUUUAUGUAUCCCCACUUGUAUUCAAACAUAAUAUGUUUGAACAAAACCCAGUUGUUGCAGGCAUGUUUUUAAUACACGAGCGGAAACUUCAAGAAACACACGACACUUUCUUUCGAAAGUUGAAUUCCCUUGUCAGAAAUAUUAAAGGCCUGCCGAUAGUGACAGAUAUGGAAUCGGCUAUAGUAAGGUCGAUAAGAGAGCAGACAUCGCUAACACAGUUGGGCUGUUGGAGACAUUUGCGACAGGAUGUACAACGCUGGAUAGCAGAAAAUUACCCUAAAAUACACAGGAAAAGGUACAUUAACGAUUUAUAUGAUAUCCUAAGAGCAAAGACAAAAGCAGAAUGUCAAACAAUAAUUCAAGAGAAAAAGUCUUCAUGGGAGGAAGGGUUCAUAAAAUAUUUUGAACGCCACGUCGAAACAAAGCUGGACUACUUUUGUCUUUGUUCAAUUAGCAACAAGUGUGCUUUUUACGAAAACAAUGGCGUAACUACAAACCUAUCAGAAGGUUUCAAUUUUCUAUUGAAAGUCUUCCAGAAUUGGAAAGAAGUCCCAUUGGAUUGUAAGUCCCAUUGGAUUGUUUAAUGAUGUCCAUGAAGCUCAUAUAAGGAUUUUAUUCCGAGGAGUGCAGACGAGGUAGGGCAGGUCUUGGAAACUUACCAAAAGUUUGGCACACCAACUGAAGAUUUUGAGUCAAGAAAACUAGUUUGUCAUGCAAAGGACAUGGUUACCUCUAUAAAAAUAAUGAAUUUAUAAGAAGCUCUGAAACUUUAAGACAACCUGAAAAUGAACAUUCGUCAAAUACAAGGGUUUUAAGAGCAAAACAGUUAGUGGAACAAGACCACAUCUCCUUCUCGCCAAAGCUUGGUGCUUUCACAAUUAUGAACACAAAAGCAAUAUACACGGUUAGAUUAUAUCCCUCGGAAAAUUGUUCGUGUUCACUUAAAAAAAUUGCAUACGUAUUUUGUCUGUCAAGCUCGGAAUGCGAAUGGCAUUAAAGCCGCAAUACUUCGACCACCAAAAUAUUGGAGUUGUUAGGAAAAACGAUAGACAAUCCACACUCAAACCCGGAAGAAAGCGCCCAAGGCCAGGAGACGUAACACCAGAGAGAAAGCAUGGCAAGUUAGAACCUCCAGAAAACGCGGAACAGUCACCAAAAAUAGUGAUCGAAAAAUUACCGGAACAUGAAAUGGAACAAGAAAACGCGGUACAGCAAAAUUCUAAUAACACGGAACAGCUAUUACCGGAACAAAAAAUGUAACAAGAAAACAUUUCUGAAAUGUCUAGGUCUACAUCCGAGGCAUAUACUGACACUCUCAGACAACAACAGAAACGACCUUUCGAGCGAUUUGAUGAAGUUCCAAAAUUAUCAAUGUACCCUAGGUCCGUUACGAACCCCUGUAGGAUUUGUGUUUAUUCCGAGCUCAAAUAUCUUUUUGUAGAUGAUGUAGAUGAUGCCUGGCAGGAUCGCAUAAAUAUGUGCUGGCCGUAUUAAGGUUAUCCAUCAAGUCAGGCGAGUUGCUGGGAAUAUGCACUGACAAACGUGCGAACGUUUGAUUUUCAGAAGUGAAAAAAGUAUGUUUUUUGUUCAUAAAAUGCAAUAAAAAUCAUAUUAGGUG
rnacentral:lncRNA from 1 species